rnacentral:tRNA from 1 species
GGAGGUAUAGCUCAGUGGCAGAGCACAUGCCUAGCAAGCAUAAGGUCCUGGGUUCAAUCCCUAGUACCACCA